rnacentral:rRNA from 1 species
GCUAUCUGCAGUCGAGGGGCAGCGCGGUAGCAAUACUGGCGGCGACCGGCAAACGGGUGCGGAACACGUACGCAACCUUCCUCUAAGCGGGAGAUAGCCCGGAGAAAUCCGGAUUAAUACCCCAUAGGAUUGUGGAUUGGCAUCAAUCAGCAAUUAAAGAUUUAUCACUUAGAGAUGGGCGUGCGUCUGAUUAGGUAGUUGGUGAGGUAACGGCUCACCAAGCCGACGAUCAGUAACUGGCGUGAGAGCGCGACCAGUCACACGGGCACUGAGACACGGGCCCGACUCCUACGGGAGGCAGCAGUAAGGAAUAUUGGUCAAUGGACGGAAGUCUGAACCAGCCAUGCCGCGUGGAGGAUGAAGGUCCUCUGGAUUGUAAACUUCUUUUAUCUGGGAAGAAAUGCUUUUUUUCUAAAGAGCUUGACGGUACCAGAUGAAUAAGCACCGGCUAACUCCGUGCCAGCAGCCGCGGUAAUACGGAGGGUGCAAGCGUUAUCCGGAUUCACUGGGUUUAAAGGGUGCGUAGGCGGAUUAGAAAGUCCGUUGUGAAAUCUCUGAGCUUAACUCGGAAAUUGCGGUGGAUACUAUUAGUCUUGAAUACUGUGGAGGUUAGCGGAAUAUGUCAUGUAGCGGUGAAAUGCAUAGAUAUGACAUAGAACACCAAUUGCGAAGGCAGCUGGCUACACAGAUAUUGACGCUGAGGCACGAAAGCGUGGGGAUCAAACAGGAUUAGAUACCCUGGUAGUCCACGCCCUAAACGAUGAUUACUCGACAUUUGCGAUACACANCAAGUGUCUGAGCGAAAGCAUUAAGUAAUCCACCUGGGAAGUACGACCGCAAGGUUGAAACUC